rnacentral:rRNA from 1 species
CCGGGGGGCGGGCCUAAUACAUGCAAGUCGAGCGGACAGAAGGGAGCUUGCUCCCGGAUGUUAGCGGCGGACGGGUGAGUAACACGUGGGUAACCUGCCUGUAAGACUGGGAUAACUCCGGGAAACCGGAGCUAAUACCGGAUAGUUCCUUGAACCGCAUGGUUCAAGGAUGAAAGACGGUUUCGGCUGUCACUUACAGAUGGACCCGCGGCGCAUUAGCUAGUUGGUGAGGUAACGGCUCACCAAGGCGACGAUGCGUAGCCGACCUGAGAGGGUGAUCGGCCACACUGGGACUGAGACACGGCCCAGACUCCUACGGGAGGCAGCAGUAGGGAAUCUUCCGCAAUGGACGAAAGUCUGACGGAGCAACGCCGCGUGAGUGAUGAAGGUUUUCGGAUCGUAAAGCUCUGUUGUUAGGGAAGAACAAGUGCAAGAGUAACUGCUUGCACCUUGACGGUACCUAACCAGAAAGCCACGGCUAACUACGUGCCAGCAGCCGCGGUAAUACGUAGGUGGCAAGCGUUGUCCGGAAUUAUUGGGCGUAAAGGGCUCGCAGGCGGUUUCUUAAGUCUGAUGUGAAAGCCCCCGGCUCAACCGGGGAGGGUCAUUGGAAACUGGGAAACUUGAGUGCAGAAGAGGAGAGUGGAAUUCCACGUGUAGCGGUGAAAUGCGUAGAGAUGUGGAGGAACACCAGUGGCGAAGGCGACUCUCUGGUCUGUAACUGACGCUGAGGAGCGAAAGCGUGGGGAGCGAACAGGAUUAGAUACCCUGGUAGUCCACGCCGUAAACGAUGAGUGCUAAGUGUUAGGGGGUUUCCGCCCCUUAGUGCUGCAGCUAACGCAUUAAGCACUCCGCCUGGGGAGUACGGUCGCAAGACUGAAACUCAAAGGAAUUGACGGGGGCCCGCACAAGCGGUGGAGCAUGUGUUUAAUUCGAAGCAACGCGAGACUUACAGUCUGACAUCCUCUGACACCUAGAGAUAGGCUUUCCUUCGGGACAGAGUGACAGUGUGCAUGAUGUCGUCAGC